GGACAGUUUAUGCUUGAAUUUGUUUGCAAGAUGUCAGAAUAGCCUCCCAGAGCUGCUGUUUGGAUGUAAACUGCCUCCCACCCUCAUAGAUCUUUUGCUUGAGGAUGCUCCAAAGGUUCUCAAUAGGAUUGAGGUCAGGGGAGGAUGGAGGCCAUAACAUGACUUUCUCUCCUUUUAUCCCCAUAGCAGCCAUUGAUGCAGAGGUAUUCUUUGCAGCAUGAGAUGGUGCAUUAUCAUGCAUGAAGAUGAUUUUAUUAUGGAAAGCAUAGUUCUUCC